UUAGAGACACUGCAGUCUCACUCCUUAAUCCUGCUGGAACAUUUACAGCAUCACGGGAUGUCUCCUUUGAAUGUCAAGAUUAAGAAUGUAAUCCUUUAAAAUUUGGCUCAGACAUAUACAGAAGUGAAAUUAGGUUUUUCACUUUUUAAAAGGAUGGCAGAGAGAUACUAUAUAGGUACUGUUCUGGGUACCGAGGAUACAGAGUGAUAAUGAGCAUUUUUGCCUAGUUUCAAAUUUUAAAGGUAUUCUUCCAAUGUUUCAUCUCUAAAUAUAACAUUUCCUGAGGAUGGAGAAAAUUCCCUUUUAUUCCAAGUUUGCUAAGCUAUUGUUUGAAAUGAAUGAGAGUUGUUUCAUCUGUUGUUUUUCAGAUGCUAAAACAACCACCAAAUGGAAGAAAUUAACUACUUGAUGAUAGUGAUCAAGUAGCCUGCAGACCUACUGACGCCUAAGGAUUGAUAAUGUCAACUGCCCUGUUACCUCACCAUCAACCAGAGAAUUGUGCAUGAGCUGAUCACGUACCCUCGGACACCCUUCCCUCACCUGGUCUUUAUAAAUGCUUUGCUGAAACCCGUGGGGGAGUUCAGGGUGUUUUUGAGCAGAAGCCACCUGUUCUCCUUGCAUGGCCCUGUAAUAAACC